rnacentral:RNase_P_RNA from 1 species
GCAGUAAGCCGGUUUGUCGCUGUUUCGUUUGUGCGAAGCAGAGGAAAGUCCGGGCAACGCAGAGCAGCAUCCUUCCUAACGGGAAGUCAUUCGCGAGGGUGAAGUAGCGUAACAGAAAAUAACCGCAGAGCCCCUCUUAAUUCUCCCUUCGGGGGAGUUCCCCUCUCCUUUGGAGAGGGGCUGGAGGUGAGGCUUUGUAAGGGUGAAAAGGUGAGGUAAGAGCUUACCGGAAAUUAGUGGUGACACAGUUUGCCGUACGCCUGAUGCGUUGCAAGAUCGUGUAUAUCGGCGCAUUGUAGGGUUGCUCGCCCGAUGUCGAGGGGUAGAUUGCUGGAGGCAACCGGCAACGGUUGUUCGAGAUAAAUGACAAACGGUUCGAUUGAUUUUUCAACGAAUUACAGAACCCGGCUUAUAGGCUUGCUGCACAU